CGUGAACUUGCAGCCACAGGAGGAAACAGGGCAUAGCUGUGACGUUUUCCAUGUUCAAUGUGAACUCCAUACUGUGGCUGGUUUCAUCCCUGCCGCUACAUGUACAAAUAUGGAAGCUCGUGAAUUGGAAAAUCCCCCGUUUUCGGCAAACGACGCUACGAUACCGAACACCGAGUCUUCCAACAUAUCAGAUAUUUAUGGUGGUGAAAGCGGCACCGUCCCCACAGCAACAAGCAAGAAUGAGGACAAGGUCCGUAUGCAUGCAUGCCGCCCCUGCAAUUUUACAACACAAUAUUUCACGCGAUUCUGUGAACACAUCAAAGCCCCUUUGGAGCUGUGUUCAUUCUACAUAGUCUCACAUAUGCCACCACAUUGAGAAACGAUAUCUUCGUUAUCUUACGUUGCCAAUGCUGGGUUGUGUUUUCCUGAUAUUCACAAUAAAAUACGUGCCCAGGAAAGCCCAUGGUCAUUGUAUUUUGGUAUGUCACCCGUGUCGUGUUUCGUGUGUGCCUGCAUGCAAUUUGCUGCAUGCAUGCACGGACGCGAG